rnacentral:rRNA from 1 species
GAUGAACGCUGGCGGCGUGCCUAAUACAUGCAAGUCGAGCGAACAGAUAAGGAGCUUGCUCCUUUGAAGUUAGCGGCGGACGGGUGAGUAACACGUGGGUAACCUACCUAUAAGACUGGGAUAACUUCGGGAAACCGGAGCUAAUACCGGAUAACAUUUAGAACCGCAUGGUUCUAAAGUGAAAGAUGGUUUUGCUAUCACUUAUAGAUGGACCCGCGCCGUAUUAGCUAGUUGGUAAGGUAACGGCUUACCAAGGCGACGAUACGUAGCCGACCUGAGAGGGUGAGAGGCUACACUGGAACGGAGACACGGUACAGACUCCUACGGGAGGCAGCAGUAGGGAAUCUUCCGCAAUGGGCGAAAGCCUGACGGAGCAACGCCGCGUGAGUGAUGAAGGGUUUCGGCUCGUAAAACUCUGUUAUUAGGGAAGAACAAAUGUGUAAGUAACUGUGCACAUCUUGACGGUACCUAAUCAGAAAGCCACGGCUAACUACGUG